CGUUCCGGGCCUUGUACACACCGCCCGUCACGUCAUGAAAGUCGGUAACACCCGAAGCCCAUGGCCCAACCCGCAAGGGGGGGAGUGGUCGAAGGUGGGACUGGCGAUUGGGACG
rnacentral:rRNA from 1 species